rnacentral:rRNA from 1 species
UACGGGUAGGGGCAAGCGUUGUCCGGAAUCAUUGGGCGUAAAGAGCGUGUAGGCGGCCUGGUAGGUCUGCUGUGAAAACUCGAGGCUCAACCAUCGAGAUAGUCGGCGGAAACCAUCUGGCUAGAGUCCGGAAGAGGAGAGUGGAAGUUCCUGGUGUAGCGGUUGAAAUGCGCGAAGAUAUCAGGAAGAACACCUAUGGCGAAGGCAGCUCGUCUGGGACGGUACUGACGCUGAGACGCGAAAGCGUGGGGAGCGAACAGG